rnacentral:tRNA from 1 species
GGUUUUGUAGUGUAGUGAUUAUCACGUCGCCCUGUCACGGCGAAGAUCGCGGGUUCGAACCCCGUCAAAACCG